CCUACGGGAGGCAGCAGUGGGGAAUAUUGGACAAUGGGCGAAAGCCUGAUCCAGCAAUGCCGCGUGAGUGAUGAAGGCCUUCGGGUCGUAAAGCUCUUUUACCAGGGAUGAUAAUGACAGUACCUGGAGAAUAAGCUCCGGCUAACUCCGUGCCAGCAGCCGCGGUAAUACGGAGGGAGCUAGCGUUGUUCGGAAUUACUGGGCGUAAAGAGUACGUAGGCGGUUAUUCAAGUCAGAGGUGAAAGCCCGGGGCUCAACCCCGGAACUGCCUUUGAAACUAGAUAACUAGAGUCUUGGAGAGGUUAGUGGAAUUCCGAGUGUAGAGGUGAAAUUCGUAGAUAUUCGGAAGAACACCAGUGGCGAAGGCGACUAACUGGACAAGUACUGACGCUGAGGUACGAAAGCGUGGGAGCAAACAGGAUUAGAUACCCUGGUAGUCCACGCCGUAAACGAUGAUAACUAGUUGUUCGGUCACUUGGUGACUGAGUGACGCAGCUAACGCAUUAAGUUAUCCGCCUGGGGAGUACGGUCGCAAGAUUAAAAACUCAAAAUGAAUUGACGG
rnacentral:rRNA from 1 species